GAUGAACGCUGACAGAAUGCUUAACACAUGCAAGUCAACUUGAAUUUGGGUUUUUAACUUAGGUUUGGGUGGCGGACAGGUGAGUAACGCGUAAAGAACUUGCCUCACAGCUAGGGACAACAUUUGGAAACGAAUGCUAAUACCUAAUAUUAUGAUAAUAGGGCAUCCUAUAAUUAUGAAAGCUAUAAGCGCUGUGAGAGAGCUUUGCGUCCCAUUAGCUAGUUGGAGAGGUAACGGCUCACCAAGGCGAUGAUGGGUAGCCGGCCUGAGAGGGUGAUCGGCCACAAGGGGACUGAGACACGGCCCUUACUCCUACGGGAGGCAGCAGUGGGGAAUAUUGGACAAUGGACCGAGAGUCUGAUCCAGCAAUUCUGUGUGCACGAUGAAGUUUUUCGGAAUGUAAAGUGCUUUCAGUUGGGAAGAAACAAAUGACGGUACCAACAGAAGAAGUGACGGCUAAAUACGUG
rnacentral:rRNA from 1 species